rnacentral:rRNA from 1 species
AUUGAACGCUGGCGGCAGGCCUAAUACAUGCAAGUCGAACGAGUGUCGGUUGGGUGAGUAAUGUCGGGGAAUCUGCAUGAUGGAUGGGGAUAACUACUGGAGACGUUAGCUAAUACCGCAUAACACCGGUGCUUCCCAGGUGGGUUUAGCUAGUUGGUGGGGUAAAGGCUCACCUAGGCUACGAUCCCUAGCUGGUCUGAGAGGAUGACCAGCCACACUGGGACUGAGACACUGUCCAGACUCCUACGGGAGGCAGUAGUGGGGAAUAUUGCACAAUGGGCGCAAGCCUGAUGCAGCCAUGCCGCGUGUAUGAAGAAGGCCUUCGGGUUGUAAAGUACUUUCAGCGGGGAGGCGUUACCCGCAGAAGAAGCACCGGCUAACUCCGUGCCAGCAGCCGCGGUAAUUC